CUUGGAGUUCCAUGUUGGUCUUGGCGACGCCCCUCGGUUUCUUACUCAGAAAGAAAACAAACAUUCUAAGAGGUUUGCUAACACGCGGGAACGCGGGCGUGCAGCGAGGGAGGAGCAGCCCUGCAGAAGAAGAAGAGGGGUCCGAGUCCAGGAUGGCUGCUGUUGGCCCUCUGCGUGUCCUGCGGAGGAGCGAGGUCCGGCCGGGAGCUGCCCCUUCCCACCGUGGGUGGCUUAUUAUCUGUUGGGAAAGAUUCCAGAACCCUCCUCCCGCCCUCCAAGUGUUUGCUCAAGACCGAGCUCUUCAGAAACUGAAACCGGGAGCCGGAACAGGCAGGUUUCUUGGGCAGGCUUUGAGGCUCAAGUCCAGGAUCCAAGAAGCUUGACAGCAAGAGUGAACAAUUCCCAGAUGAGUGAUCCACAGCAGCAAGUGGCAAGGUCCAGACAGUUAGCAUGAGUCCUCGAUCUGCAGAGAUUCUGAGUGUUGAAGAUCUGCCAAGGCAGCUCUAGAUGGUUGUGAGUGAGCAGUGGGAAGAAGCCCAGGUUGUCUGCACUGGGUGUGAAUGGAAGGAUUUGGAGCUUUGGGCUGGAAGAUUUUAUUCGGAGAACCCUGGACAAAAUCGCAGGAGCUAAGGUAGUACUGGGCAUCAGGACUGAAGAUCAGAGGUAACAUGUUUUAUCUUUAGGGCAUCACCCUCUUUGGAUAUAUAAAAUGAGGACCUGGCACACAUACUUUUAGUCACUAUUUAUAUUGAAGGGAAAUUGUGGUUAGAAGAUUGCUGAUGCAGUAUGGCAAGUGCUGUGAGACUUGGGAAAAGGACCUUCUGUGGCUCCUCAGUGAUUGACACACCAUGUUGUCUAAUGGUCAUUUACUAU
rnacentral:lncRNA from 1 species